rnacentral:misc_RNA from 1 species
CAAAAUGCCACUGUGUGUUGCUCUUGACGUUGCAGAGAAAAAUUAAAAAAAUAAAAUAAAAUGAAGAAAUAUGAACCAAAAUCGAUGACUUUCACAUAUAGAUUCUCCAAGCUGCAAGAGCUCUAGGGUUUCAAUUUUACAAGUGGUUGGCCAUUGGGCAAUUGGACUGUGAUACUUUUCCUGGGGUAAGUUAACAAUGCCGGCAAAACCUGAAAAUGGCAAUCAUCGGUUAGAUAAGAGUGCACAGAGUGUGUUGCAAUCGGCCAUUUGUUCGCAACCUUGGUGGCAGGGAGUUGGGAAUGGUACUACCUUUGGUGAAAGCUCAUCAAAAUCAUCUUCAGUAGAGCAUCUGAGUGGUUCUCUUGCUGAUGGAGCUAUCCAGU